CCAGUGCGGACGCGAUGUGUGCAUACUUGCUUGGAGGCAGAUUUGUGCAUUCGUUCUGUGCCCUCGCCCUUAAAAACGGGGAUCGCGGCUGUAUCCUUCACGCGAAAAAAGGAUUCAUGUUUCUUUGCGUCCAUCCGCCGCUGGAUCACCCACUGCACAGCUCUCAAAGCUCUCCGAACUCCGUCAUCCGCAUGCACAGCUCUCAAAAGCGACCAGUGGAUGAUCCAACGGUGGAUGGGCACGAAGGAUACAACCACUUCAAAUGGGCGGACGCGCCACCCGGCGUCUCGCUUAUAACCGGCACUGAGAACGGUGACGUGCUGCCUAAGUUUUCUCAACGUUCGGAAUUCGGACGACCUCCAUCUGUAAAUAUAAGCACAGUAGGAGUAGCCCUAAAAAAAAUAAUAAAACAAAUUCCCUUUCUUUUUCAACAGUAGCAGCGAGGGAAUGGGAAGGGGCGAGGGAGGGUUUCCUUCGCUGAUAAUUUCUUCCUCGCCGCAAGAGCAAGACGACGGGAGGGAGAAGAUAGCCUCCGGCAUUACAGAGGUUUGAUCAGUGUAUUUCGAGGGUUUGUUUAUUGAUACAAAGCCUAAGACUGGUGAAGCAGUUUAAUUUUUUUUUCCUCUCUCUCCGUGAAGAUAUAUGGCUCUGUCUGGAUCUACUUGUUCAGAGGUUUUCUUCAUUUGAAUUUGGGUUGAAAAACAAAAGAACAUGAUGAGAGAAGUUGUUUCGUGUGUUUCUCAAUUGGUUUUUCUUGUUAUGAUGUUUUUUUGUUCAUUAUUGUGGUAGAAUUGAUGUGUUUCUUUUUGGGUUUGUAGGUUUUGAUAAAUGCUAUCAGAUCAAGGGUUCAUUGGAAUCAAGAACAGGUAGACAGCAUAUCGAAUUGAUUGUGAUUAAAAUGUUUAAAGCUGGUCAAGAAGGUUUGAUAUUCUUUCCAUUGAAGGCAUUUCUCAUGUCGUUCUUAGAAAUCUACAGUCCUUUCAUGAUAUUUCCCCCCAAGGACUUCCGCGUCCCAUUUGCAGGCAUUUGGCUUAGUCUGGAUAUUAAAUUAUUUCUGAGGUGUUUGGGGAUUCAAAUAUUGGGUCUCUGUAUUUUGGAGGGAAGCAUGAAAUUGGUUAUCCAAGAAGCUGCAUCUCCCAAAAGACAAGAUCUUACUAGUUUCUUGCCAAUAAUGAAUUUCAGUAUAGUGAAAAUCUCUCUGUUUUUUUUCCCCCUUCUUUUGAGAAAUAGUGGAGAAAUAGUGGGAGGAAAAUCUUUGAUGUUUCUGAAAAUCUUUGGGUCUGGUCAAUAUUUUUUAAGAUAAAGGAAAAUACUGGUAAAUGCAAAGAAGAUAUUGGAAAAUAUAAAAUACUAAUACUUUUAAAAAGUAUAUCAGAAAUCAUUUUUAGUCAUAAGCUCAUAAUUCACUGUCUUCUGAGAAUUUUAUACAUGAGAUAAAGCUUAGGCCCAAAAUCUUUGCUUUCAGAAAUGGAAAAGAAUAUUAAUAUUAAUUCUGUUUGCCUAUGGACAGUUAUCCUAAAUUUGGGUUUUUUUAUGAAAUGUGGCAAAAUCUUGCUGUAUACUGUUGAGAGGUAAGAUAGUUGUGCUUUUCAAUAUUUUCAAAUAUAAAAACAAUUUCUUGGUGUGCAUGGUUUUGCCUAAACGUUAUUAUAUUCCAAAUUGCUCCUAGACUUGAGAUUUAUUGAAAUUAAAAAAACUCAAGCCAGCAAUCGUGAAUUAGUUGGUUGGGGCUCACAUCUUGCCUUUUGUAAAUUUGAACAUGGACCAAAUAAAUCUCAACUUACAAAUUCUCUAGAAAUACUAUGAUUAACUUUUAGAUUGAUUGAGUUUGGCCUUGCACCAAAAUGCAGCUUUAGUACCUUGUUGCAUAUGCCACAAUUUUGCCAUACUGGUGCCUCCACUACUAUGUUUUCAAACCUCCAUUUUCAUGUGUUCAUUGAGAUCAAAAAACAAGGUUACCUUCUCUUCUCAUGGACAUAAAUUGACUAAAUUGCAUCUCUAAUUGAUCAACCAUGUGUUUUUUCUCCCUCAGCAUUUCAAACAGUUCAGUGGCGAUCUAUGUGAAGUUUCACGCCAUUAAGGGAAAUCGCCUCAUGAUUCUUCUUGUUAGUGCCAUGACCAAACAACGUUCUUGUUUCUACACUUUGGCACUAUUGGUGCAUUUCAUAAUACACCUAGAGCACCUUCAUUGACUCCUUUCUAUCUUUUUUUACUGGAGCUUUGUGCCUAUGUUAGCUCUAUAUGGACUUGCUCUAAUCCACUUUAGAAAUCUAAGUGAGCUUCAUUGUAGUAAUGCAUGGAGAAAUUUUUGGCUGUGCUAUGCAAUUUCUCUUUCUAAAAUGGUAUAGUGAUUUUGAGGGCUUUCAUGAUAUCUUAGAUAAUAAUGCAUCUAGGUAUUAGGCGAAAAGCAUCACAAAAGCCUUAGCUGGUGCAUGCUUUCUGCAGUAGCUAUUUUAUUUGUAAGCAAAUUCUGAGUGCAUACUAAACUGCCCUUUUUUCCUUCUAGAAUCAUCCCUUAUUUUAUCUAAACAAUAUUUGUGCUGCUACAAAUGCUUUUCAAGAUCCUAAACUUCGGGUUUCAGGGGCUGGUCAAAGGGUAGAGCAGUCAAAAGGAGAACAUUGCCAAAUGUAUAUGUCCCUUGAUCAGCUCAACAAGGCAGCAAAUCCUGAAGCACACUUCACAAGCACUGGUACAUUUUUUAGGGAAUAAUUUUUUUACACCAUUUCAGUUUAUUACCGUCUAGGUUUCUGCACAAACAAUUGUUCAAUGUCCUAUCGCCAUUUUUGAUUCACAGAAAUUCUCUCUUUCUAAUAGCAUUCCUUCUUUUAUCAUCAGUUUCUUUCAUUUGUUCUUUCAUUUAUUCCUUCAAACCUUCUUUGUAGCGUAGUAGUCUGAUUUUGAUGUCAAGUUGAUCGGGUAACCAGUUUUUUUUGUCGCUUUCCUAACAUUGGUUGCAUGGCAUCCACCUCUAGUUCUACAUCCUUUAGGCGAUAUCUUUUAGUUCUCACUCCAAUUUAGGAAGCACUUCUCGUAGAAAUUUGAUGACGGGCAUUUCAAACCCAUGUUUAGGAGUGUCCGUCACGGGACAAGAUGUUUGCAAUUUGCAUUUUCUUUUUUCCCCCCUUGCAUGAAAUAAGCAUGGGGAAUCUCAUGGCUGGAUUAAUAGGCUCUACUUAAUAUAGAUACUUAUGUUAUGUAACUGUCACUAACUGGAGUAUCUUGAAUAUAUUAAGAUGGAGUGGCGAAAGGCCAACUCCAAAUACCAUGUGAAAGCUUCUUCAUUAUGAUUAUGGUAACUUAGAAGGCUAUCUUGUCUCGCAAUCUUAACCUAUUUGUUUGCAUAGUAUUCCAGAAUUAUGUCAUGAAUAAUGUGAAAUAUAUGACGGUUUCAUACGUACCUGGUAGCAACUGUAGUCAAACCCACUUCCCUGCCAUGAAAAUUGAAAAGUUGGUCCUUUCUACUUAAUUUUACAGUACUCAAAUGUAUUCACCUGUGAAAAUUAGCUUAGUGGUAAGAUGAUACUAGAAUUUGUAGAAUGAGAUAAAGAUUAGUCUUUAUAAGAUGUUCACAUUCUCACCUAUUUCCUAUGUCAGGCCUUCUUUAUCUGUCUUGACUUUUUAUACUGUUCUACUUUGGUUAAGCUAUAACCUUUCUAUUAGCUUAGUCUCGAAUCUGCUGUUUUCUCCUAUGCUCAUCGGAAUUGGUUUUUGCUCGCUUUGGGGCCUGAAAUGUGGAAAGACACAACAGGCAAAGUGGGCAUAUAUUUCAAGAUGAAAAAUCCAGCUCUGAAGAUCAUCUGUGUUGAACAUGCAGAAAGCGCAGUUAUCUCAGGGCCUGGUUUUGCUCCAAGAAACCUGGAUACUCUUCAACAAUGUGCGAGAGGAAUGUAUCAGUAUGACUUUCUGAAAGACAUCAUUUUUCAUUUAUGUCUCAAGUCAAUACAUUUCUCGCGGACAUCGCAUAUCUGUAAACACGAUCUUUGUAAAACCUUGUUCUAUUUGAAGCUUAAUAACAGAUGUUGCUAACAAAAA